UUGUGAUUUAGCUCUUUCCUUGUUUGGCUCCGUAGAGAAAUGGCUGUGGAACGACAGGUUGAACACAGGAGUGUACAUUUUGCAGGCACAGCAUAUCAGACACACAGGUGACUCCUCGUGACUGCUGAGAGAAGAUAAAGCGUAUGUCAAGCCGAAGCAAAGCUAACUCUGAAGAAUCUAAAGUAUGAUUUUGAAUGACACAAAUACCAGUGUUUUGUGGUCACGUAAAGGAAUGAAAGACAGUACAGUCAUCAGGACAACACUGAUAGAUCUGAAUCUUCAAAGCUAUUACCCAAGAGUUUGGCCCUCGUCCUUCUAUCAUCACCCACGCUGGAGUUGAAAUAAAUAUAUAUAUAUAUAUAUUCCUGCUGAGGCUGAUCAAGUGGGAAAAGUCAUUGAUUUUUCCAUCUUACCUUGACCUUUACUGAAAGUCAUGUAGCACAUCAUUGAGCCUUUUAGUUUCAUCUAUGCUGAAUAAUUUAGGUUGAGCAGAGUUCCUCUGAGUGCUGCACUGAUUUUUCUACCUCUUUGGACUCUAAUCUAACAUUGAAGAUGCAUAGCUAGUAAUCUGCUUGCUGGAAGCUCUUAGAAACAAGGUAGAAGUGUAACACUAAUAUUCAAAUUUGAACAAAGUCAUACUUACAGCAUGAAACCGAUACUCAGUUUCCUUCACGUCAUCAGAUGUCUGACCGGGAUUCCUCUAAUCAGUGAGAAAUUCUUCACUGUUGACACACAGGGUGUUUCCUAACUGUGAACACGUGGGCGUUUGAGAUCCAAACUAGUUACUGAAGCCCGAAGUAAAAACAUAAGAAGACAUAAAAACAGUAUUUUGAUUAAACAGGUUUUAUUCUCUUGAUUUCAACAUUAGACAAAGCAAAGUUGAUAAACUGAGUCAUGGCUUCUACACAUUACACAGGCAUAGGAUCCAGAGAAAACCCUGCAAGGCCAAUCUUAUCUUGGUUGAACAGAAGUGGCUGGAUUAGAGGAGAAAUUGUGUUGUAGUUUCCUAUUAUAAGAGCAGAGGUUUAUGGGCAAGAGCCUCAGGGAUCCAGCUGAGAUUAAAUUACA